rnacentral:rRNA from 1 species
GAUGAACGCUGGCGGCGUGCCUAAUACAUGCAAGUCGAGCGAACGGACGAGAAGCUUGCUUCUCUGAUGUUAGCGGCGGACGGGUGAGUAACACGUGGAUAACCUACCUAUAAGACUGGGAUAACUUCGGGAAACCGGAGCUAAUACCGGAUAAUAUUUUGAACCGCAUGGUUCAAAAGUGAAAGACGGUCUUGCUGUCACUUAUAGAUGGAUCCGCGCUGCAUUAGCUAGUUGGUAAGGUAACGGCUUACCAAGGCAACGAUGCAUAGCCGACCUGAGAGGGUGAUCGGCCACACUGGAACUGAGACACGGUCCAGAAUCCUACGGGAGGCAGCAGUAGGGAAUCUUCCGCAAUGGGAGAAAGCCUGACGGAGCAACGCCGCGUGAGUGAUGAAGGUCUUCGGAUCGUAAAACUCUGUUAUUAGGGAAGAACAUAUGUGUAAGUAACUGUGCACAUCUUGACGGUACCUAAUCAGAAAGCCACGGCUAACUACGUG